AUGUGUGUGUGUGUGUGUGUAUACACACAAUAUAAUACAUACAUGGGGAAUAUGUUUAUCAAAAACAAGGAAUGGUUAUAAUUGUUUAAAGCGGUCGUUGUCAAACUUUUGUUGGUGGGCAUCUUCCUUCAACGGAGAAAAAGUAAUUUUCACGAAACCGAAACUAAAAUUGUCCAGUCGUUUGUUAUCAGUGUUUCUUCACACAAACAUCACAUUCAAGUGCUGGCGAUAAAAAAAAAAAAUUUUCUUAAAAAUACUUUUGAAAUGUAAGCAUUAUAAAUGGUUUCAAUAAUUUAUUUCGAAGGCUAAUCACAUCUUCACCAGUAUCACCCACUGUCUCCUUGUCAGCUCACGCCAUCUCCAAGGGGACAUUAGUUUAUAAGAGAUCGAAAAUGCGGUUGGUGACAUAAAGUCAGCUUCGCUUGUUCAUUGUGAUAUUUUAGUAUUUUAUGGUUGUACUAAUUAGGAAUUCCUUGAAUGUCACCAUAGAAUUAAGCUAAUGAAACAUUGGUAAAUCGCGUUCUAACUAUCAGAUAUUUACUUUGAUAGUUUAGUGGAAACGUUCAAUGCACUGAUUCACUGUUUACGUCUGAAAACGAAUAUCAGAUGACAUUGUCAUUAAAGACAUAACAUCAAUAUCUAUAUAAUCUUUUAAAGACAAAAGAAAAAUGUUUCACAGAAAAACCGAUAAGUAUUUCUUAAUACCAGAUGACAUUGCCAUGAAAGAUACAUCAUCAAUAUAUAUCGUCAUUACAACAAAAGGAAGAUGUUAUACAGAAGAGUUUCAACACACAGUUUCUAUGAAUUUAUCUUUGAGUUACUGAGAGUUGGUUCUUCUGAGCGAGACAUUUCUCUUUAUUCUCUAAAAAGUUUAUGAGAUGGUUUUGCAUUCCAAUUAAAUUUGGACAGAUUUACUAAUGAGUUUGCUACUCUGGAAAUAUUCUUUUCUACUCUAGGCACAAGGCCCGAAAUUUUUGGGGAGAGUCCAGUCAAUUAGAUCGACCCC
rnacentral:misc_RNA from 1 species